AAUACGAGUAUACGUUUGUUUCAGCAAUCUUAUUAAAUUCUAUAACAUUGAUCGUAAUAUAACAUUUAUACUGAAAAGUGGUGUAUUAUCUGCAGCAUGAUACCAUGAUCCAUUAAGAAGCUUUACGUAAAGAAAGAAAAAGAAAUUAUGUCUUAGAGAAAAAGGUAAAUCUACUUAACAUUACAUAAUCAAAAAAUGUAAAACAAUUUGAAAUUUUGGAAGUCCAUUGGUGACGGCAAUUUCCUUAGAGGAUGUUAAAUCCGUUAAAAUAGAGCGUCUCAGUAAGUACUUCGAAACAUAAAAAAAUUGUUAUGUUUUAUUGAAGUCAUAUGAUAUAUUAAUAUCGCAAUUCAAUGACAUAUUUUUUUUUUAUUUACAGUGCUAGAAAGUAUGUAGACGAUGUGACAUAAUCUCAAAUUUAAAUUAAGUAGCAAAAGUGCAAUCAAAAUUUUCAAACGUCAAAGUAAUUCACAAUAUAACGUAACAUUUUGUUCCGAUGCGUUCAAAAUUCUUCACUACAUUCAAAGAUACUCUGCAGAAAUUUUAUCUAAAAUUAGCGAAAAAGUUUGUUUCAAACAUCUCUUAUACCUUUAUUUAUAAUAUUCAAUUAUCUAUUAAUAUAUAAAAAAUACUUUACCGAUAGCAAGCAUACAUGCAGGAUUUGAGCAAAAAUUAAUUAAUUCAGAAGUUGAUGUGUUUGCUGAAGCUGAAACAUCUUUAAAUAUAAAAAUUUUUAUCACUCUAAUUUAUUAAUAGUUAAUGGUUUUGCAAAUAAGAUUGUUAUAUCCAAUAUAAACAAUUCUGAUAUUAGAGACAUUAUUGUUUGCUAGGAACGGAUUACAUAAAAUUAUAGACAAAGAAGAUCUACCAAAGUAUUAUGGCAUGUAUUGGAAAAAUCUUUCACUAUUUGAAGUAGUACCUAGACAUAUAUCUCUUCUUUCUAAAUAUUAUAAAAAAAAAUUAUUACAUAAAGACUCCAUAGAAAAGACGUAUGAA